CCUACGGGUGGCAGCAGUCGAGAAUCAUUCACAAUGGGGGAAACCCUGAUGGUGCGACGCCGCGUGGGGGAAUGAAGGUCUUCGGAUUGUAAACCCCUGUCAUGUGGGAGCAAAUUAAAAAGAUAGUACCCCAAGAGGCAGAGACGGCUAACUCUGUGCCAGCAGCCGCGGUAAUACAGAGGUCUCAAGCGUUGUUCGGAAUCACUGGGCGUAAAGCGUGCGUAGGCUGUUUCGUAAGUCGUGUGUGAAAGGCGCGGGCUCAACCCGCGGACGGCACAUGAUACUGCGAGACUAGAGUAAUGGAGGGGGAACCGGAAUUCCUGGUGUAGCAGUGAAAUGCGUAGAUAUCGAGAGGAACACUCGUGGCGAAGGCGGGUUCCUGGACAGUAACUGACGCUGAGGCACGAAGGCCAGGGGAGCGAAAGGGAUUAGAUACCCCGGUAGUC
rnacentral:rRNA from 1 species